AACAAGAGCAGGACUGAGCUCACGUGGAGCUCGUUAGGGAGCAAUCAGGGCACUCAGCUGUGGUGUGCACUCAGAAAUGUGAGUUCUCCCUAACAGGUGGGAGAAGCUGUUAUUGGUGAAGGUUCUUUGAUGUAUUUAAGGAAGGAUGGUGGAUGGAAGCCUGGCUCAUCACCAUGUGCUCAGGUGGGAGCACUCCCCCAGGCUGGCUGGGGGAAGCAAAGCAGCCCCUAGAUCUGCUCUGGAGCGUUUCUUUCUGACCUGUUGCCUUCAUGUUGUCAUCCUUUGCUGCUAAUUACUCUCUUCGUGCUUCUGGGAGCUGCUGUGUGGGCUUGGCAGAGGAGGCAGACUCAAUAUUCAGCCUUUAUGAGUUACGUGGUGCCAGCCAUGCUGGGGGAGCUGUUUGCAGAAGAAAACUUUUUGGUUUUUUUGUUUCCAACUUUAAUGGCUUCCGAAUAAUUGGAAAAAGAAUUUGUGCUAGAACUUUUCCAUCGUUGCCUCCCUGUGAAUGAAUCCAAGCCACACCCCUGCUGGACAACUGCCAAGGUCUCUGGGCCGUCCUUGUGAAGGCAAGGUGAGCCCUUCUGCCUGUGUAGGGAGCUGCCUCUGAGUGCCAGAAAUGUCCUUCUGAACAGACAGUCCAAUACAGCUUUGACCUAAUUGGUCAGUUGAAUCCAAACACCAUCACCAGUGGCCAAUGAAGAAAUCACCUUUUGGUAAACAAAUCUCCAUAACACAUUCCACAUGUUCACAACAACAGGUGCAGCAAGUAAAGCAGGGAGAACAGGCACCACAGCUGACAUGAGAGAGAAGCAGAAAAUUCUCCAAAGAAUAACAUUUUAAUUCAUCUUGAAAUAAACAUUGAGGGUCUGUGACUGACUCCUGUAAAGGUAGUAAAAAAAAUACCAUCUAGAAGAUGAACAGAAGCAGUAAAAGCCAUCUAUUGCAAUGUAUCAUGAUGCUGUUACAUUGCUAUCUGCCAACCAGCAAGUAAAAAUUCCUCCUGUGACAAAAUUGUAAAUGCCACAAUAACACCAUAUUUUCUGCUUUGUUUCUUGGAGGUGAAAAAAAAAAAAAAAGUGUAAACUUGGGAAAAAUAUGAAAAAAUAUCAUAUAAACGGGGGAUUUGUGUAAAACUCUGGGAGGGGAGCUGGGAGCUGGAGUCAUUUUUUUCUGGGGUCAGCUGACCCCAUAUCUCUGGGGUCAGAUUUAGGAUUAUUUGGCUGAUCAGGGUAGUUUUAAUCUGUAGAAUUUUUUUUUCCACAGAAAAAAAUAUUCUGAUGUACUGAUCACUCACCUGUUGGGUCUAAUGCUUCACAAUUGCCUGCAGCACUAUGGGUGCUCUAUUUUGCUAAAAAAUACACUCCUAAUCAGUCCUGUUUGUUAAGAAUA